rnacentral:sRNA from 1 species
AAUAAGAGUGGUACCACGGAUAGUUUCGUCUCU